rnacentral:rRNA from 1 species
AAAGCAGGGGAUCGCAAGACCUUGCGCUUUUGGAGCGGCCGAUGUCUGAUUAGCUAGUUGGUGAGGUAAAGGCUUACCAAGGCUUCGAUCAGUAGCUGGUCUGAGAGGACGACCAGCCACACUGGGACUGAGACACGGCCCAGACUCCUACGGGAGGCAGCAGUGGGGAAUUUUGGACAAUGGGGGAAACCCUGAUCCAGCCAUGCCGCGUGAGUGAAGAAGGCCUUCGGGUUGUAAAGCUCUUUCAGCCGGAACGAAAAGGUUACGGUUAAUACCCGUGACUAAUGACGGUACCGGAAGAAGAAGCACCGGCUAACUACGUGCCAGCAGCCGCGGUAAUACGUAGGGUGCGAGCGUUAAUCGGAAUUACUGGGCGUAAAGCGUGCGCAGGCGGUUUUGUAAGUCAGAUGUGAAAUCCCCGGGCUCAACCUGGGAACUGCGUUUGAAACUACAAGGCU